rnacentral:rRNA from 1 species
GUCGAACGGUGAAGCCCAGCUUGCUGGGUGGAUCAGUGGCGAACGGCUGAGUAACACGUGAGCAAUCUGCCCCUGACUCUGGGAUAAGCGCUGGAAACGGCGUCUAAUACUGGAUACGAACCGUGGAGGCAUCUUCAACGGUUGGAAAGAUUUUUUGGUCAGGGAUGAGCUCGCGGCCUAUCAGCUUGUUGGUGAGGUAAUGGCUCACCAAGGCGUCGACGGGUAGCCGGCCUGAGAGGGUGACCGGCCACACUGGGACUGAGACACGGCCCAGACUCCUACGGGAGGCAGCAGUGGGGAAUAUUGCACAAUGGGCGAAAGCCUGAUGCAGCAACGCCGCGUGAGGGAUGACGGCCUUCGGGUUGUAAACCUCUUUUAGCAGGGAAGAAGCGAAAGUGACGGUACCUGCAGAAAAAGCGCCGGCUAACUACGUGCCAGCAGCCGCGGUAAUACGUAGGGCGCAAGCGUUAUCCGGAAUUAUUGGGCGUAAAGAGCUCGUAGGCGGUUUGUCGCGUCUGCUGUGAAAUCCCGAGGCUCAACUUCGGGUCUGCAGUGGGUACGGGCAGACUAGAGUGCGGUAGGGGAGAUUGGAAUUCCUGGUGUAGCGGUGGAAUGCGCAGAUAUCAGGAGGAACACCGAUGGCGAAGGCAGAUCUCUGGGCCGUAACUGACGCUGAGGAGCGAAAGGGUGGGGAGCAAACAGGCUUAGAUACCCUGGUAGUCCACCCCGUAAACGUUGGGAACUAGUUGUGGGGUCCAUUCCACGGAUUCCGUGACGCAGCUAACGCAUUAAGUUCCCCGCCUGGGGAGUACGGCCGCAAGGCUAAAACUCAAAGGAAUUGACGGGGACCCGCACAAGCGGCGGAGCAUGCGGAUUAAUUCGAUGCAACGCGAAGAACCUUACCAAGGCUUGACAUAUACGAGAACGCUGCAGAAAUGUAGAACUCUUUGGACACUCGUAAACAGGUGGUGCAUGGUUGUCGUCAGCUCGUGUCGUGAGAUGUUGGGUUAAGUCCCGCAACGAGCGCAACCCUCGUUCUAUGUUGCCAGCACGUAAUGGUGGGAACUCAUGGGAUACUGCCGGGGUCAACUCGGAGGAAGGUGGGGAUGACGUCAAAUCAUCAUGCCCCUUAUGUCUUGGGCUUCACGCAUGCUACAAUGGCCGGUACAAAGGGCUGCAAUACCGUGAGGUGGAGCGAAUCCCAAAAAGCCGGUCCCAGUUCGGAUUGAGGUGUGCAACUCGACCUCACGAAGUCGGAGUCGCUAGUAAUCGCAGAUCAGCAACGCUGCGGUGAAUACGUUCCCGG